rnacentral:lncRNA from 1 species
GUCAGGGCCGUUGACAACUAAAAAGGUCCCUGACAGAGCGGCGGGCUUGAUCGAGAGUAAUGAUAUUAAGUUGGCAGAAAAAGAAAGGAUAAUUUAAGGAAAUAGUUUAAUAAGAUAGGGGUAAAAUAGGUAUUUUAAUUAGGUUUUAACUCUGGAAUACAUUUAACUCAUGUUUAACCCGAGUUAGUUUAACAGGGGAUAACUGCGGGGGUAUUUUGGAAUAACGGUGGAACAUAUGAGGGGUAUUUUAGAAAAAAAAAAAAAAAGUAGAGAUAAAUCGGAUAUAUUCAAACGCAUGAAGGGUAUAUUGGCAAUUAUCCCUAAAAAAA